rnacentral:rRNA from 1 species
ACGAACGCUGGCGGCGUGCCUAAUACAUGCAUGUCGAGCGGAAUGAUGAAGAAGCUUGCUUCUUCUGAUUUUAGCGGCGACGGGUGAGUAACACGUGGGCAACCUACCUUGUAGAUUGGGAUAACUCCGGGAAACCGGGGCUAAUACCGAAUAAUCCAUUUUGCUUCAUGGCGAGAUGUUGAAAGACGGUUUCGGCUGUCACUACAAGAUGGGCCCGCGGCGCAUUAGCUAGUUGGUAGGGUAAUGGCCUACCAAGGCGACGAUGCGUAGCCGACCUGAGAGGGUGAUCGGCCACACUGGGACUGAGACACGGCCCAGACUCCUACGGGAGGCAGCAGUAGGGAAUCUUCCACAAUGGACGAAAGUCUGAUGGAGCAACGCCGCGUGAGUGAAGAAGGUUUUCGGAUCGUAAAACUCUGUUGUAAGGGAAGAACACGUACGAGAGUAACUGCUCGUACCUUGACGGUACCUUAUUAGAAAGCCACGGCUAACUACGUG